UACGUAGGGUGCGAGCGUUGUCCGGAAUUACUGGGCGUAAAGAGCUCGUAGGUGGUUUGUCGCGUUGUUCGUGAAAACCGGGGGCUUAACCCUCGGCGUGCGGGCGAUACGGGCAGACUUGAGUACUGCAGGGGAGACUGGAAUUCCUGGUGUAGCGGUGGAAUGCGCAGAUAUCAGGAGGAACACCGGUGGCGAAGGCGGGUCUCUGGGCAGUAACUGACGCUGAGGAGCGAAAGCGUGGGGAGAGAACAGG
rnacentral:rRNA from 1 species